UACGUAGGGUGCAAGCGUUGUCCGGAAUUAUUGGGCGUAAAGAGCUCGUAGGCGGUUUGUCGCGUCUGCUGUGAAAACUCGGGGCUUAACCCCGGGCCUGCAGUGGGUACGGGCAGACUAGAGUGCGGUAGGGGAGACUGGAAUUCCUGGUGUAGCGGUGGAAUGCGCAGAUAUCAGGAGGAACACCGAUGGCGAAGGCAGGUCUCUGGGCCGCAACUGACGCUGAGGAGCGAAAGCAUGGGGAGCGAACAGG
rnacentral:rRNA from 1 species